rnacentral:rRNA from 1 species
UACGUAGGGGGCGAGCGUUGUCCGGAUUUAUUGGGCGUAAAGAGCUCGUAGGCGGCUUGGCAAGUCGGGUGUGAAACCUCCAGGCUCAACCUGGAGACGCCACUCGAUACUGCCAUGGCUAGAGUCCGGUAGGGGACCACGGAAUUCCUGGUGUAGCGGUGAAAUGCGCAGAUAUCGGGAGGAACACCGGUGGCGAAGGCGGUGGUCUGGGCCGGCACUGACGCUGAGGAGCGAAAGCGUGGGUAGCAAACAGG